GGAUGUGAGGACGAUCUGGCUGCGACAUCUGUCACCCCACUGAUCACCAGGGUUGAUUCGAUUGAGCUGGCUGGCUGGGCGGGUGUCCCCUUCCUCCCUCACCGCUCCAUGUGCAUCCCUCCUGAAGCUGUGCGCUCGGUCGAAGAGGAUGACCAGCCCUGAUAGAGGAGGACCGGUUUUCUGUCAAGGGUAUACGAGUAGCUGCACUCCCUUGCUAGAACCUCCAAACAAGCUCUCAAGGAAAUGCAAAUAAAAACAACACUGAGAUACCACCUUACCCCAGUCAGAAUGGCCCAUAUCCUAAAUU
rfam:Dipodomys ordii contig_73507, whole genome shotgun sequence.